CUUGUACUCCCUCUGUCCGAAAAUAUUUGUCAUUGAAAUGGAUGUAUCUAGAUGUAUUUUAGUUCUAGACACAUCCAUUUUGAUGACAAGUAAUUCCGGACGGAGGGAGUACUUG
rnacentral:pre_miRNA from 1 species